rnacentral:rRNA from 1 species
AUCGAACGCUGGCGGCAUGCUUUACACAUGCAGGUCGAACGGCAGCACGGGAGCAAUCCUGGUGGCGAGUGGCGAACGGGUGAGUAAUAUAUCGGAACGUGCCCAGUCGUGGGGGAUAACGUAGCGAAAGCUACGCUAAUACCGCAUACGAUCUAUGGAUGAAAGCGGGGGAUCGCAAGACCUCGCGCGAUUGGAGCGGCCGAUAUCAGAUUAGGUAGUUGGUGGGGUAAAGGCUCACCAAGCCGACGAUCUGUAGCUGGUCUAAGAGGACGACCAGCCACACUGGGACUGAGACACGGCCCAGACUCCUACGGGAGGCAGCAGUGGGGAAUUUUGGACAAUGGGCGCAAGCCUGAUCCAGCAAUGCCGCGUGCAGGAUGAAGGCCUUCGGGUUGUAAACUGCUUUUGUACGGAGCGAAAAGGCUUCCACUAAUACUGGGGGCUCAUGACGGUACCGUAAGAAUAAGCACCGGCUAACUACGUGCCAGCCGCCGCCGUAACAC